UACGUAGGUGGCAAGCGAUACUCGGAAUCACUAGGCGUAAAGCGCAGGCAGGCGGUUUGGUAAGUCUUUUGUGAAAGCUCCCGGCUUAACUGGGAGAGGUCAAGGGAAACUACCAGACUAGAGUGUGGUAGGGGAUACUGGAAUUCCUGGUGUAGCGGUGAAAUGCGUAGAUAUCAGGAGGAAUACCUAUGGCGAAAGCAGGUAUCUGGGCCAUCACUGACGCUGAGCUGCGAAAGCUAGGGGAGCAAACAGG
rnacentral:rRNA from 1 species